rnacentral:rRNA from 1 species
AUACAGAGGGUGCAAGCGUUAAUCGGAAUUACUGGGCGUAAAGCGCGCGUAGGUGGUUCAGUAAGAUGGAAGUGAAAUCCCCGGGCUUAACCUGGGAACUGCUUUCAUAACUGCUGAGCUAGAGUACGGUAGAGGGUAGUGGAAUUUCCUGUGUAGCGGUGAAAUGCGUAGAUAUAGGAAGGAACACCAGUGGCGAAGGCGCCUACCUGGACGGAAACUGACCCUGAGGUGCGAAGACGUGGGGAGCAAACAGGAUUAGAUACCCUGGUAUUCCACGCCGUAAACGAUGUCAACUAGCCGUUGGGAACCUUGAGUUCUUAGUGGCGCAGCUAACGCACUAAGUUGACCGCCUGGGGAGUACGGUCGCAAGAUUAAAACUCAAAUGAAUUGACGGGG